rnacentral:rRNA from 1 species
GAUGAACGCUGGCGGCGUGCCUAAUACAUGCAAGUCGAGCGAGCGGACGAGAAGCUUGCUUCUCUGAUGUUAGCGGCGGACGGGUGAGUAACACGUGGAUAACCUACCUAUAAGACUGGGAUAACUUCGGGAAACCGGAGCUAAUACCGGAUAAUAUUUUGAACCGCAUGGUUCAAAAGUGAAAGACGGUCUUGCUGUCACUUAUAGAUGGAUCCGCGCUGCAUUAGCUAGUUGGUAAGGUAACGGCUUACCAAGGCAACGAUGCAUAGCCGACCUGAGAGGGUGAUCGGCCACACUGGAACUGAGACACGGUCCAGACUCCUACGGGAGGCAGCAGUAGGGAAUCUUCCGCAAUGGGCGAAAGCCUGACGGAGCAACGCCGCGUGAGUGAUGAAGGUCUUCGGAUCGUAAAACUCUGUUAUUAGGGAAGAACAUAUGUGUAAGUAACUGUGCACAUCUUGACGGUACCUAAUCAGAAAGCCACGGCUAACUACGUGCCAGCAGCCGCGGUAAUACGUAGGUGGCAAGCGUUAUCCGGAAUUAUUGGGCGUAAAGCGCGCGUAGGCGGUUUUUUAAGUCUGAUGUGAAAGCCCACGGCUCAACCGUGGAGGGUCAUUGGAAACUGGAAAACUUGAGUGCAGAAGAGGAAAGUGGAAUUCCAUGUGUAGCGGUGAAAUGCGCAGAGAUAUGGAGGAACACCAGUGGCGAAGGCGACUUUCUGGUCUGUAACUGACGCUGAUGUGCGAAAGCGUGGGGAUCAAACAGGAUUAGAUACCCUGGUAGUCCACGCCGUAAACGAUGAGUGCUAAGUGUUAGGGGGUUUCCGCCCCUUAGUGCUGCAGCUAACGCAUUAAGCACUCCGCCUGGGGAGUACGACCGCAAGGUUGAAACUCAAAGGAAUUGACGGGGACCCGCACAAGCGGUGGAGCAUGUGGUUUAAUUCGAAGCAACGCGAAGAACCUUACCAAAUCUUGACAUCCUUUGACAACUCUAGAGAUAGAGCUUUCCCCUUCGGGGGACAAAGUGACAGGUGGUGCAUGGUUGUCGUCAGCUCGUGUCGUGAGAUGUUGGGUUAAGUCCCGCAACGAGCGCAACCCUUAAGCUUAGUUGCCAUCAUUAAGUUGGGCACUCUAAGUUGACUGCCGGUGACAAACCGGAGGAAGGUGGGGAUGACGUCAAAUCAUCAUGCCCCUUAUGAUUUGGGCUACACACGUGCUACAAUGGACAAUACAAAGGGCAGCGAAACCGUGAGGUCAAGCAAAUCCCAUAAAGUUGUUCUCAGUUCGGAUUGUAGUCUGCAACUCGACUACAUGAAGCUGGAAUCGCUAGUAAUCGUAGAUCAGCAUGCUACGGUGAAUACGUUCCCGGGUCU